AACGUAGGGGGCGAGCGUUGCCCGGAUUCACUGGGCGUAAAGCGCGUGUAGGCGGUCCGUUAAGUCGGAUGUGAAAUCUCUGGGCUUAACCCAGAAAUCGCAUCCGAUACUGGCGGACUUGAGGAUGGUAGAGGUUGGUGGAAUUCCCGGUGUACCGGUGAAAUGGACAGAUAUCGGGAGGAACACCAGUGGCGAAGGCGGCCAACUGGGCCAUUCCUGACGCUGAGACGCGAAAGCCAGGGGAGCGAACCGG
rnacentral:rRNA from 1 species